CACCUUUCAGUGUUGCAACAUUUGUAAAUGUUAAUUUCAAUAACUGAAAUACCCUAUUGCAACAAUCUCAACAAUAAUACUCUCUCUUUAUGCAACACAUGAUUCACGCCUAUUGCAAUAUUUAAAAAUCAUCUUCUGCAACAUCCCAAUAAUUUAUUACAACACAAAGAAACAGCAAAAAAAAACAUACAAAAUAGCAAGGGGAUGGGUUUCGAGGUGCAGGAUGCUCUAGCCCUGGCCCAUCACCUUCGAGCUCGCAGGAUGGAGGAAAUAGGACCUCAGAGCUCAUCAAAACUCUAGCCAUCGUUGUGUGCCUUAGAUCCAGCAGAGGAGGAGGAGGAGGAGGAGGAGGAGGCGGCUCAUAUCCAGAGGAUAGGGAUGAGGAUGAUGGCUUAGAUCCGGAGAAUAAGGAGGAUGAGAAAGAAGGGAGGAGGAGGGCUCAGAUCCAUAAAAAACCGACCUACCUCGUCAAAGCCACCGUCAUCGUUCUUGUCUCUAGUAGGAGGAGUGGGAGCAAGGUCGCAUGGAGGUCGUGGAAGAGGAAGGGAGGGAGGGAGGGAGUGUCGAUGAGCAGCGCAAGGCAGUAGCGAAGUGGCGUGCAGUGCGUGGCGUCUGUCCCCACGAGCAGGCGAGACAGCAAGGGGAGGGGCGUGAGCACCGGGAGGGAGGGAGCGCCGACGAGCGGCGCGGAGUAGAAGAGGUGGCAACAAAAGAGGUGCGAGCACCAUGGGAGUGAGUGGUGGAGAAAAGGAUAAGGAAUGAGGGAAGCAGCGUGCGGCAC
rnacentral:lncRNA from 1 species